GUGAGGAAUUUUCCGCAAUGGGCGAAAGCCUGACGGAGCAAUGCCGCGUGAAGGAUGAAGGCCUAUGGGUUGUAAACUUCUUUUCUCAGAAAAGAAUUAUGACGGUAUCUGAGGAAUAAGCAUCGGCUAACUCUGUGCCAGCAGCCGCGGUAAUACGAAGGUCCCAAGCGUUGUUCGGAAUCACUGGGCGUAAAGGGAGCGUAGGCUGCGCGGUAAGUCAGGUGUGAAAUCCCGGGGCUCAACCCCGGAACUGCACCCGAUACUGCCGUGAUAGAGGGUUGGAGAGGUGACUGGAAUUCUCGGUGUAGCAGUGAAAUGCGUGGAUAUCGAGAGGAACACUCGUGGCGAAGGCGAGUCACUGGACAACAUCUGACGCUGAGGCUCGAAGGCCAGGGGAGCAAAAGGGAUUAGAAACCCGAGUAGUCC
rnacentral:rRNA from 1 species